UGGCGGACGGGUGAGUAACGCGUGGGUAUCUGUCUCUGGGUGGGGGAGUAACCGUGGGAAACUACGGCUAAUACCGCAUGACACCUGAGGGUCAAAGGCGCAAGCCGCCUGGAGAGGAGCCCGCGUACGAUUAGCUUGUUGGCGGGGUAAUGGCCCACCAAGGCGACGAUCGUUAGCUGGUCUGAGAGGAUGAUCAGCCACACUGGGACUGAGACACGGCCCAG
rnacentral:rRNA from 1 species